rnacentral:rRNA from 1 species
UUUAUUGGAGAGUUUGAUCCUGGCUCAGGAUGAACGCUGGCGGCGUGCCUAAUACAUGCAAGUCGAGCGAAUGGAUUAAGAGCUUGCUCUUAUGAAGUUAGCGGCGGACGGGUGAGUAAC